CUUCUCUUGAGAGCGGCGGACGGGUGAGUAAUGCCUAGGAAUCUGCCUGGUAGUGGGGGAUAACGUUCGGAAACGGACGCUAAUACCGCAUACGUCCUACGGGAGAAAGCAGGGGACCUUCGGGCCUUGCGCUAUCAGAUGAGCCUAGGUCGGAUUAGCUAGUUGGUGAGGUAAUGGCUCACCAAGGCGACGAUCCGUAACUGGUCUGAGAGGAUGAUCAGUCACACUGGAACUGAGACACGGUCCAGACUCCUACGGGAGGCAGCAGUGGGGAAUAUUGGACAAUGGGCGAAAGCCUGAUCCAGCCAUGCCGCGUGUGUGAAGAAGGUCUUCGGAUUGUAAAGCACUUUAAGUUGGGAGGAAGGGUUGUAGAUUAAUACUCUGCAAUUUUGACGUUACCGACAGAAUAAGCACCGGCUAACUCUGUGCCAGCAGCCGCGGUAAUACAGAGGGUGCAAGCGUUAAUCGGAAUUACUGGGCGUAAAGCGCGCGUAGGUGGUUUGUUAAGUUGGAUGUGAAAUCCCCGGGCUCAACCUGGGAACUGCAUUCAAAACUGACUGACUAGAGUGUGGUAGAGGGUGGUGGAAUUUCCUGUGUAGCGGUGAAAUGCGUAGAUAUAGGAAGGAACACCAGUGGCGAAGGCGACCACCUGGACCAACACUGACACUGAGGUGCGAAAGCGUGGGGAGCAAACAGGAUUAGAUACCCUGGUAGUCCACGCCGUAAACGAUGUCAACUAGCCGUUGGGAGCCUUGAGCUCUUAGUGGCGCAGCUAACGCAUUAAGUUGACCGCCUGGGGAGUACGGCCG
rnacentral:rRNA from 1 species